AUGAAAUUUUUGUUCACGACCCGAUUUGGUUGUGAACUGAGGCACCACUGUAGUACUUCAGCAGUAAAGAGACCAUUCAAAUAGUCACUCCCCAAAAAAAGUCUUUGCAGAGGUUUCUGUGGAGCAUUGGCAGUGAUGUAAUUCCUUUCAUCAUACAUCUGUGCAAGGGUUCCCUUGUUCACAUCCAACAUUUGAUAUCUUCAAGAUUCAGUGAUGACUCACAUGUAUUAGUGGGGACACCACAGGUGGUGCUCAGGCACAAUGCUUUUCCAAUAUAUUCUCUGUGUUGCUGGAAUGCAACUCAGCCCUCAAGUGAAGCCAGGUAAAGGGAUAUGCAAGCAAAGCCUCCCAAGUUUUAUCCCAGUGCUUUUAAGAACAAGGACUCUUCCUCUUUUGUGGUUCAUUGAUUGGAAUGUUUUUGACAGGGCUACAAGCCUAACACUACAGGGCCUCCACUACGGGAAUGGCUAUGUUUUUCUACAGAGAAAUUUCCUGUCGUAUUGAAUUUACAGACUUAUUGGAGCUGGAAGGCUUUCCUAAGGAGCAGGCAACCAGCUGUUUGGAGUGACUCUUUUUGAGACUGUUACUUCUUUGCUUUAGCAAGGCAGAAGUGAGGAAUGCUUGUCCUGUCAAUCAAUCCUUAGAGGCUGCUGUGUGGCUCCAAGCUAUCUUACAACUUCUCAUUGUUGGAGGGGAGUGCUGAGGAGUUUACUGCCAUCUAUUGCCACUAAAAUACUGGGGUGGGGGAAAUAAAAAAAAUCCACAUUAUAGUGAUGGCUUUGUUUGGCUAACAAAAGGGUUGCAUCAAAUGUGCAAGCUCUGAACAACUACAUCUCUUCAUUAGGUAAGACGUUACAAAAAGCAGAUGGGGAGGAAGUGGGGUGGGAAGAUGACUUGAUGUUGAAGUCAUGGAGUUUUCAUGAGCACAAACUGGAGAUGGGAUAGGGAGGAAGCUUCUCUAGACAUUCAAGUAAGGCUCUAACAGGUGAUGUGACAGUUUCAGGUUUCAUCUGGGACUGCUUCUUGAACUGUUGGGGAUAAGAAAGGCAGAUAAACAUGACAUCCCCCCAUUUUGGAAAUAUGGAGGUGUUACGAAGACAUGUCUCCAUCUUGAUUGUAGCCCACAGGGUUUCUUUAUAGUGGAAAAUAGAACAAUACUAGUUAGUUGUUAUAUUAGCAAACCUACAGAUGAUUUUGCAUAUACUGCAUCAGGUAAAAUAAUUGAAGAAAUGCUUUAGUCUUCAGCUUCUUCAUAUUUGGCAACUAGAUAAGUUCAGAUUACCUGUAACCAGCUUAAUUUAUGAAGUGGAACUUUUGGAUCUGGUGAGUAAUUUCUUGUAUGGGGAAAAUCAGUGGACAAUACAGGGAGUUGUGGAACUCAAAGUUUCAUCUGUUUAAGAGCAGUUGUUGAUUCCAUAUCAUCAGUAUAAAAUCAAGCACUUUACCAAUUAAUUAAAACCUUUAUAUUUUUCACCAAUAAAAGCUACUUGAAUGCUGCUAACCUGAGCUUGACAUGAAAGCUACCAAGAUGCCAGUAGAUGGACAGUCUAAAAGCAUUAAAUAAACCUGAAUCCAGUGACCAAUUCAUAUGAUAAGGUAUUUCUAACCACUGUUGGAAUUCCAAUUUAGAAAUGAUCUUUAAUUCCAUCAAUAUAGAAAUGAAAUGGAGAUGGGCUGGUAUGAAAGGUUUCAGGUUUCUGGUAUCUAAUUAUGGCAGAUACCUUUUAGGCUGUUUGCAUCUUGCUAAACUUACCUUAAAAAUGAAUCAAUUUUGCACUUAUCAAAGAGAUUUUCAGAAGAGCUAACUAAACAAGCAUUUUCCAGAACUUCAAAUUUUGUCAUUCCAGUAUAGAACAUAAACUUUCAUAUUGAAAUUGAAAGGUUGAAUGUGAAAUUGUACCUCCAAAUUUAAAAUUUGAAAUUGUUUUGAUUUUGAUAGGUAUAACAUAUGUAAUCUUACAGGCUGUGAGUCAUCAAGCACAGUGAGAUACUGGAUCAAUUUCUUAACAAGAAAGGAUAAGGGCAAAUGAGGGAAAAUAUCCUGAAGCUGGACUCAGACAAAGUGGAAAAACCGUGGUUUGGGAAAUCUGUUAACUUGGAUGAAAGUUUGCCACUUGACUGGGAGGGAGCGGUACUUUUGCUGAUGGUCCACUCAUGUUGUCCUGGGGUUCUCACAUCUUUUGUUCAUGUGGGUAGUAACAACCAGAGAUCUUGUACUGCCUUCUUUUGCAAUUCUUAGACCAAUCUAUCUCACCAGUGUUCAAUGAUAUGAGUGCCUCUACUGAGCAAAGUUCACCCCUUUUUCCUGAUAGUUUACCCUGUAUGAUUAAAAAUGACAAAGAGAUUGUCCAUAUGUCCUGCUUUACAGAUGGUAGUUCUCUAUUUGAAGUUGCCCUCUUCUGUUUGAAGGACUAUCCAUUUCAAAUCUGUUUUGCAUCUGAUCAACCAAUGGAAGGAAAUGGCGGGGACCUGGAAUCUGGCAUCAAUGCCUACUGCCUGGGCAGCAGACCGAGAAGCCAUACAGGCAGAAAGUGGAGGAAAGCCCUUGUCUGGAAGCCUGCAAGUGCUGAUACGGCCCUUGCACACCUGUUGGGUUCAGAAUGUGGAACAGAAGGAUGCAUUUGGAACAAAGCUGCAUUUGUGGAGCCAAGUUCAUUGCAAGACCUCCCUUACCUUGAUACAGGUGCUCAGUGCCUGUUACCUGGUUUGAGAGAGUAAGGGCCCAACACCAAUUCUACUUUUCAGUUUCCCAAGGGCUUUAGGUGGGCCUCUGUUAAAAGCAUUAGUGUGAAGAGAGGACUGUUUCUAGCAGAGCUCUUCUCAUGUUGCUAUAUGCAUUUGAGACUAUAUGUGAUCCUUAAUCUAGUUUCAUGCUGUCCUAAUACAGAUCUACAGAGAUGGGGUGGCAGAAAGAAAAAGAAUGCAUGUGCCAAAAAGAAUGCAGCCUACUUUGGGUCUUUUUGCCAGCUGCCAGCUUUGAUCCUGGCCACUGCUGGCAUGUGGUCCCUGACAAAUGACCCCUGAAGAAAUGUAGCAAUGAACAGAAAAAAGAUCCCUUGCCCUGCAGUACUGGGUGGAGCUCUUUUUGAGGAAUGUUCCUCAUGGUGUUUUUGUCAUUCAGUUUAUUUGAAAAUCUAAACUACCCAUGGAGAUAGGGGAAGCUCGAGCAGCUGUGCAGGGAGAGCAGUGUCAAUUCCUCCAAAAGCAAGCAGCAUGCAUUACCAGUCUCCUUCAAGGGGCUUUAUAUCCUGCUAUAGCACCUAGCUUCUUGACUGGUCUUACUCAAAUCCUUCCAGUUCUUCCUCUGUUGGGUAUGUCCAGCAAGUAGCAAGAAUCAGAAUCUACUCAUGCUCAUGUAAAGAAGCACUUUUGUUUCCGUUCAGCACCCUUUAUAAAACAUCUUUAAGUACCAGCUCUAGAAAAGCCUAGAGGCAGCCCUCUUCUCACCUCCCACUGCACCUCCUACUCCCAUAAAAAUAUAAUGCACUCAGAUUAGUCAAUAAGGGCUAGUUGCUGCUGUUGUCAUUUUUUAACAAAAGCCUACAACAGUGUGAUAGCUGAGAGUUCAGGCAGGUACUAAGUGAAAACUGUCUUAACAAGCAGCUAUUCAGACCUUACAGAAGACAAUAUUUUAAUCAUAUUUUUAUUCAGCUUUACAGAACAGAAAUUUUGCUCUGAAUAAUAAUACAAUAAUCUCACUUUUUUUUCUCCUGUCCAUAGUGACCGUAAUUGUGAGACUCACUCCAGAGAUUUCACUAUGGAACUAUUGUUCAUCUGUCUGUUUUUGCUUAAUGCGUUUUGGUUCAAUUUUGUCUGUCAGUCCAUAAAUAACUAUAUGAUACUAGUGAUGCUCUUUCUGUUAAAUAUCUAGUUUGUAACAUAAAUAAAUUUUUGCCAAACUGAAAA